ACGUAGGGUGCGAGCGUUGUCCGGAAUUAUUGGGCGUAAAGAGCUUGUAGGCGGUCUGUCGCGUCUGCUGUGAAAGACCGGGGCUUAACUCCGGUUCUGCAGUGGGUACGGGCAGACUAGAGUGUGGUAGGGGAGACUGGAAUUCCUGGUGUAGCGGUGAAAUGCGCAGAUAUCAGGAGGAACACCGAUGGCGAAGGCAGGUCUCUGGGCCAUUACUGACGCUGAGAAGCGAAAGCAUGGGGAGCGAACAG
rnacentral:rRNA from 1 species